CUCAAGAACAUGGGCUCAGUUCUCAGGCUCUGGCUCUUCCUCUUAGCGAAACCUGAAAUCUAUCUGACUGCGGAUCCUCAGAAUGAAGGUGUUGGGAUUCAGACACUGACUUGUUUGGCUGCGGGAUUUUUCCCGAGGGAUCUGACCAUUUCCUGGAUUGUUGAGGGGGAUGUCUCCUAUCAGGAGGAGCCGGGCUCGCUGACAGUAAACACGGACAGCAGUUACAACCUGAGCUCCCGGCUGCGGAUUGCAAGGCCCCAGCGGGAGCAGGGAGCCACCGUCUCCUGUCACAUUCAGCACAGGACCUUCACUGGGUCAGUGAGGACAAGGCUCAGAGACGGUCCAGGACUAUUCAAGCUUUUGGAAAUUUCUAAAGUUUAUCUGGAAUGGCCAUGGCUAAGUGGAAUUCCACUCCUAUCGUUAAGGUUUACUCCAGAACACAGGGACAAUAAACUCCAAGACUCUGCAGCUUUAGGAUGCGUUCAAGACUGGUUACCUGUAAUGCAGUGCUAAAAACCCCUACCUUCUAUUGCAUGUCAAUUUUUUUUUGGAUUCAAUUUAAACUACUUUGUUAUUGUGAAAGAUCAA